AGUCUCCGCGAGCAAGCGACUCCGAAUCUUUACGGUUCCGGCUGUGAGGUCCGCACGGGUGGCACCGAUUCCUCUUCAUAGAGGCCCUGAGGUGGACGGAGUCGUGGGAGGACGCAGGGAGCCCGGUUCGCCAGCGUCGCAGCUCGCCUGGCCCAGUCUGAGCGAAGAGCGAGGUCGGGAGCGUCGUAAAACUGUCGUAAAAGUCCGGUCUUUGCCGCACGUCAGCAAUUGUUUUGUCUGCAAAGGCUCCAAACCUUUACCAUUUUCCUUUCUUCUUAUUUUUUUAAAUCACAAAGAAAUGAUAUUUUCGCCGUUGGAUACACGUUAAAGGGUGUGCCGAGUGUUCUUCCACAUCAUGGACCUGGCACCUGCCACCUGCACGGGUGAGCGCUGGGAGGAGAGAUUAGGCUCAGGAGUGGGGAUGUGUACUCUGCCUCUGCUGAGCCCUGGAUUCCUCCUCCAAGCGUUGGCAACAAAAUUAAAAAACUAUAGAUACAUAUUUUAUGUAUAUUUUUAUUUAUAUUGGCUGUAUGUACAUAUAUGUGCUUAAGUGAUUCAAGAGGACCUCUUCAAUUUUUAGGCAAAUGUUUUUGUUAAUUUUUACUACAUUUUAAUUGAACUCAUUACAUGCAAAAUACUAAUAAAUAUAGACAAUAAAAAUAAGUAAUGAGAGGGCAGAAGAGAUAGCUGAUGUGUAAGAGAGCUUGCUGCUCUUCCAGAGGGCCCGAAGUCAGUUCCUAGUAUGCACAUGGAGGCUCACAACCAACUAAAUCUCUGCUUGGUAUCCAAGGACCUCUUCUGAACCCUGAAAAUACCUGCGCAAAUGGUACACACACACACACAGUAGAAAAUUUUUAAAUGAAUUUAAAAAAUAACGAUACACUUUUUAAAAUAAAUUUUAAGAAUCAUAUCUAUACCUACAUACUAAUUCCUGACUAGCCAUACUUCAGAUCUCAGUAAUUUAUACAUAUUUAUCAUAAUUUUAUUUUUUGUGUGAUUGUGUGUACAUGUGCAGACACAUGACACACUUGUAGAGGUCAGAGAACAACUUACAAGUAUUGGUUCUCUCUUACCAUAUGGGGAGUGUAUGAGUGGGUCAAGCUCAACUCAUCAGGCUUGGUUUUAUCAGCUGAGCUGAACUAUCUUAUUGGUCCCAUUUAUUGUUUGUUUUGGUUUUCUUCUUUUGGGUUUUUUGGUCUUUUUGAGAUGGAGGCUUACUAUGUAGCCUUGGCUGGCCUGCAACUUGCUAUGCAGAUGAGUCUGGCCUUGAACUCACAAAGAACAAUAAAUACAUUUAAAAAAAAUAAAUAAAUCGUAGAAAUUAUUUCUGGAAUUUUCUGUAUAGUGUUUUUGGUUUCCACUUGAUGGUGAAUUUCUUAACCUUUAGAAAUGAAUAUUGUGGGUAUGAGGUGACUUCUAUAAUUUGUGAGUAUGUGAAUAUUACUGUGCCUGGCUUUACAUAGAGUCUGAAGAUUUAAACUCCAAUUUUGUUUUGUUUUUUAAAGAUUGAUUGAUUGAUUGAUUGUAUAUGAGUAAACUGUAGCUGUCUUCGGACACACCAGAGGAGGGCAUUGUAUCCCAUCACAGAUGGUUGUGAGCCACCAUGUUGUUGCUGGGAUUUGAACUCAGGACCUCUGUAAGAGCAGUCAGUGCUCUUAACCACUGAGCCAUCUCUCCAGCUCCUGAACUCCAGUUCUAAUGCUUGUGCAGUAGAUGUUUUGUCCAUUAAGCCUUCUCCCCAUAUUAGAUAUUUUUGUUUGGUUGGUUUUCUUACUUUUUAUAAUUACAUGUAUGCAGAUGCAUGUGUGUGAUCAUGGACAUACAUGUGCUACAGUGUAUGCAUGUCCAUUCUCUCCUGCAACUGUGGAUUCCAGGAACUGAACUCAGGUCAUCGAACUUGCACAGCAAUCCACUGAGCUAUCGCCUUAGCCUCCCUGUAAGUUUUAAUAUAGUAUCCUGGUUGUCAAAAUGUGGUCCACUAUCAGUGCCAUCACCCUGUUAGGAAUGCAAAUUAUCCAUUUCCUCCUUUGAUUUACUGAAUAUCUAUCAUAUUUUUUGUUUGUUUUUGCAGAUCUGAGUGCUACACCUAGGCCUUACACAUGCUAGGCAAGUGUUGGACUACUGUGCUACAUCCCUAAGCCCUAGCAGCUAAGCUUUCUAAUUUUCUUUUGAGAUGAAGGUCUCACUCUGUAGCUCUGAGUGAAAUUGAAACUCUCUGUAUAGACAAAGCUGGCUGUGAGUUCAGAGAGAGCCACUUGCUGUCACCUUCUGGCGGGAUUAAAGGUUUAUAUCACCGCAUCCAGCACCUAGCCUCUAAAUUUUAACACGCCAUUGUGAUGAAGAUGAUACACAGUACUCUAAGAUACUGGUGUCGAUUUUCUCAUAAAAGAACAAGUAUCUUUGUUUCACUUUAUUUUCUGUUUGAUUCAGAGUGGGUUUUGUUAGUAUGUGCAUGAGCCUUAAUUUGGGUUUUAGGGUUCAGAGAUAAACAUCUAGAUGUUUAGAAAAACGUGACCUACAUGCCUAGUCCCUUUGAAGCAUUUCCUGUACGUUCUUUAGAAAGCACAGCUCCUCGGUGCUAGGAGCAGUGACACACACCCUUCUUCCUGGCACUUUGGAAGCUCAGACAGCAGGGCUGGUUAGCCUGGAUUACCUAAUGUGAAAUGCUGUCUCGAAGAACAAGAAAAAACCCACAUAUACAGAAGCUAGAUUAAUGACUCAUUGCUUAAGAACGCUUGAUGCUCUUUUAGUUCCCAGCACCCACACUGGGCAGCUCACAACCACCUGCAACUCUAGUUCCUAGGGAUCUGAUGCCCUCUUCUGGCCUUUAGUGGCACUUGCACACAGGUGUACACACAAACAGAUACAUACACACAAAUAAAUAAUAAAAGUGAAAUAUAUUUCUUUCUGGUUUCUCAAGAUAGGACUUUUCUGCAAAGCUCUGGCUGUCCUGAAAUUCACUCUGUAGACCAGGGUGGCCUUGAACUCAGAGAUCCACCUGCAUCUGCCUCCCAAGUGCUGAGUACCACCAUCACCACCC
rnacentral:lncRNA from 1 species